AGCUCAUAUUAUGCCCUUUUUGGGGUUCGUAUAUUUAAUCUAUGUACCUACUAGAGUAUGUUCACAAUAGCUAAAGUUCGAAAAAAAGUGUAUGUUUUCAUGUACUGCCGCUCCAUGCACCGGCUCGCUUCUGACUUUCUCUCUAAGGCUCUGAAGUGCCCACGUUCAGAGUCCCCACGUGUGCCAAGUCUGAUCUGAUUGGUCGGCCUGUCGGCUCUGUCUGAUUGGUCAGUCGCUCAGCACGGUUCUCAGAAAUGUCUCACCCUUUUUGCCAUAUUGGGAAUGCAGCCACUUUGCCUCCGAGGGGAGCCAAAAAAACGGUAUGCAAACGGCAAUGGCAACUUCAGCAAUCUGACAGAGAGGAGGAACAAACACAACAACCUUUGCCACGAAGGUAUGAGCACAACGUUUCAGUGUUGUGGGAGAAUGAAUCUGCUGCCUGUUCCUUGUACCAAAAACAUCCAGGACUGUUUAAACCCAUAUACACUUCAAAACAUCCACAACAUCUUCAGAGGAGAACAUCACAGAGAACUGCAGAAGAGCUGUGCAGACACUUGGCAGCUCAUCGCUUUGUGAGGCGGUGCUGGAGAUACUUUGGACACUGCAGAGUGGUUGUCCUGUCGUGUGUCGUCCUGAGGAUUCGCCCCGAGUUUCCUGACCCAACUGGACAGUAUGUUGGCUUCGGCCUGCCCCUUGACUACACCUGGACACGUGUCGAGCCAUCCCUCCUUCUAUUUAAAAGUCAGGCAUUUUCUGCAGCUCCUCCAUGAAUGGUUCUGGUUCCUGAAACACCUCCUCCAACACCAGUGCCAUCAAGUGUGUGUGCGUACCUUUGCUUGUCCCUUAGUAUACCCCAGGCCAACUGUGUGUGGACUGAUGACCCCUUUGGAGGUAGGUAUGUCUGUGUGGCCUCUGAGACUUGUGGGGAGUCUGUCUGCCACCCAACC